CACAUUGGUCCUGGGAGCCAGAUCCCGGAGGGCCUCACAAGAAGCCACCUGGAAACCUGGGCACAUGAGAUCACUGAACCCCAGAGCAUGCUGCUGGAGCCGCCAGGCUAGGACAUCCCUCUUGCCCCUGCUCCUGCCACACCCAAGUCUAGCUCUUCUCUGGGGACAGAAAAGAGAAACACAGAGUAUCUGCACUGAGCUAAGAGUAAAAAGGACACAGGGA
rnacentral:lncRNA from 1 species